rnacentral:rRNA from 1 species
GGGUUGUGAGGUUAAGCGACUAAGCGUACACGGUGGAUGCCCUGGCAGUCAGAGGCGAUGAAGGACGUGCUAAUCUGCGAUAAGCGCCGGUAAGGUGAUAUGAACCGUUAUAACCGGCGAUUUCCGAAUGGGGAAACCCAGUGUGACUCGUCACACUAUCAUUAACUGAAUCCAUAGGUUAAUGAGGCGAACCGGGGGAACUGAAACAUCUAAGUACCCCGAGGAAAAGAAAUCAACCGAGAUUCCCCCAGUAGCGGCGAGCGAACGGGGAGGAGCCCAGAGCCUGAAUCAGCAUGUGUGUUAGUGGAAGCGUCUGGAAAGGCGCGCGAUACAGGGUGACAGCCCCGUACACAAAAGCGCAUGUGCUGUGAGCUCGAUGAGUAGGGCGGGACACGUGGUAUCCUGUCUGAAUAUGGGGGGACCAUCCUCCAAGGCUAAAUACUCCUGACC